GCCUGACCAGCCAUGCCGCGUGCAGGAUGACGGUCCUAUGGAUUGUAAACUGCUUUUGUACGGGAAGAAACACUCCGACGUGUCGGAGCUUGACGGUACCGUAAGAAUAAGGAUCGGCUAACUCCGUGCCAGCAGCCGCGGUAAUACGGAGGAUCCAAGCGUUAUCCGGAAUCAUUGGGUUUAAAGGGUCCGUAGGCGGUCUGGUAAGUCAGUGGUGAAAGCCCAUCGCUCAACGGUGGAACGGCCAUUGAUACUGCUGGACUUGAAUUACUGGGAAGCAACUAGAAUAUGUAGUGUAGCGGUGAAAUGCUUAGAGAUUACAUGGAAUACCAAUUGCGAAGGCAGGUUGCUACCAGUGGAUUGACGCUGAUGGACGAAAGCGUGGGUAGCGAACAGGAUUAGAUACCCUGGUAGUCCACGCCGUAAACGAUGGAUACUAGCUGUUGGGAGCAAUCUCAGUGGCUAAGCGAAAGUGAUAAGUAUCCCACCUGGGGAGUACGUUCGCAAGAAUGAAACUCAAAGGAAUUGACGGGGGCCCGCACAAGCGGUGGAGCAUGUGGUUUAAUUCGAUGAUACGCGAGGAACCUUACCAAGGCUUAAAUGCAGACUGACCGAUUUGGAAACAGAUCUUUCGCA
rnacentral:rRNA from 1 species